rnacentral:rRNA from 1 species
GAUGAACGCUGGCGGCGUGCCUAAUACAUGCAAGUCGAGCGAACAGACGAGGAGCUUGCUCCUCUGACGUUAGCGGCGGACGGGUGAGUAACACGUGGAUAACCUACCUAUAAGACUGGGAUAACUUCGGGAAACCGGAGCUAAUACCGGAUAAUAUAUUGAACCGCAUGGUUCAAUAGUGAAAGACGGUUUUGCUGUCACUUAUAGAUGGAUCCGCGCCGCAUUAGCUAGUUGGUAAGGUAACGGCUUACCAAGGCAACGAUGCGUAGCCGACCUGAGAGGGUGAUCGGCCACACUGGAACAGAGACACGGUCCAGACUCCUACGGGAGGCAGCAGUAGGGAAUCUUCCGCAAUGGGCGAAAGCCUGACGGAGCAACGCCGCGUGAGUGAUGAAGGUCUUCGGAUCGUAAAACUCUGUUAUUAGGGAAGAACAAAUGUGUAAGUAACUAUGCACGUCUUGACGGUACCUAAUCAGAAAGCCACGGCUAACUACGUG